CCUACGGGUGGCAGCAGUGAGGAAUAUUGGUCAAUGGCCGUAAGCCUGAACCAGCCAAGUCGCGUGAAGGAAGAAGGAUCUAUGGUUUGUAAACUUCUUUUAUAGGGGAAUAAAGGUAUCCACGUGUGGAUAUUUGCAUGUACCCUAUGAAUAAGCAUCGGCUAACUCCGUGCCAGCAGCCGCGGUAAUACGGAGGAUCCGAGCGUUAUCCGGAUUUAUUGGGUUUAAAGGGUGCGUAGGUGGUUUUUUAAGUCAGCGGUGAAAGUUUGUGGCUCAACCAUAAAAUUGCCGUUGAAACUGGAAGACUUGAGGGUGUUUGAGGUAGGCGGAAUGCGUGGUGUAGCGGUGAAAUGCAUAGAUAUCACGCAGAACUCCGAUUGCGAAGGCAGCUUACUAAGCCAUAACUGACACUGAAGCACGAAAGCGUGGGGAUCAAACAGGAUUAGAUACCCUUGUAGUC
rnacentral:rRNA from 1 species